ensembl:lncRNA
CUAAAUCUAUUUUAACUUUCGGAGACGAGACGAAAAUGUUGGUGGUUGACUAACUCACAAUAUAUAUAUAUUUUUUCUAAACUUUUAUUCUAAACUAACAUGCACCAUUGGUUGAAUGUUGCCCAGUCCUGUCCCUCCUCCACUACCUGAGAUUUGUCUGUCUGUCUGCAUGCACGUCCCGAGCCACGUGAGCUUUAUGAGGCCGACUUUGUCAGGCAGUAAUUGCUUACGGCCAUACCACACUGAGCACGCCCGAUCUCGUCCGAUCUCGGAAGCUAAGCAGUGUCGGGCCUGGUUAGUACUUGGAUGGGAGACCGCCUGGGAAUACCAGGUGCUGUAAGCUUUUCUGUCUCUGCCUCCCAGCGCGCCCCUGCUGGCCGCAGCAGUCAGCACAAUUCAGCCAGUUAAACUUGGAACACUCUUUUGUGUUUUUUUUUUUCUUUCUUUCUUUCUGCCUGUCUGUUAGUCUGUCUGUCUGUCUGUCUGUGUGUCUGUGUGUCUGCCUGCCUGUCUGUCUGCACGUCCCGAGCCACGUGAGCUUUAUGAGGCCGACUUUGUCAGGCAGUAAUUGCUUACGGCCAUACCACGCUGAGCACGCCCGAUCUCGGAAGCUAAGCAGUGUCGGGCCUGGUUAGUACUUGGAUGGGAGACCGCCUGGGAAUACCAGGUGCUGUAAGCUUUUCUGUCUCUGCCUCCCAGCGCGCCCCUGCUGGCCGCAGCAGUCAGCACAAUUCAGCCAGUUAAACUUGGAACACUCUUUUGUGUUUUUUUUUUCUCUUUCUUUCUUUCUGCCUGUCUGUUAGUCUGUCUGUCUGUCUGUCUGUCUGUCUCUGCCUGCCUGCGUGUCUGCACGUCCCGAGCCACGUGAGCUUUGUGAGGCCGACUUUGUCAGGCAGUAAUUGCUUACGGCCAUACCACACUGAGCACGCCCGAUCUCGUCCGAUCUCGGAAGCUAAGCAUUGUCGGGCCUGGUUAGUACUUGGAUGGGAGACCGCCUGGGAAUACCAGGUGCUGUAAGCUUUUCUGUCUCUGCCUCCCAGUGCGCCCCUGCUGGCCGCAGCAGUCAGCACAAUUCAGCCAGUUAAACUUGGAACACUCUUUUGUGUUUUUUCUUUUCUUUCUUUCUUUCUGCCUAUCUGUUAGUCUGUCUGUGUGUCUGUGUGUCUGUGUGUCUGCCUGCCUGUCUGUCUGCACGUCCCGAGCCACGUGAGCUUCAUGAGGCCGACUUUGUCAGGCAGUAAUUGCUUACGGCCAUACCACACUGAGCACGCCCGAUCUUGUCCGAUCUCGGAAGCUAAGCAGUGUCGGGCCUGGUUAGUACUUGGAUGGGAGACCGCCUGGGAAUGGCUCAUGACCCCCCCAAGUACAUAUUGCUCAACACUGGGAUCGAUCGAAAAUGAUCAAAACGGAUGGUUCCAUCUGGUGGUCAGUGUUAUUUACAGAAAUUGUCAUGUACAAGGCCUGGUUUAUUGAAAUAUACUAGUCUGCUGAAUGUUUUGUUUAUUAUUUUCAUAGUUACAUUUUUGGGCUGAAUUAAGAAAAGGUGUC